rnacentral:rRNA from 1 species
AGCCCACUAGCUAGCUCACUCACCUAAACCCAACAACUCACUAUCCACACCCCCAGAUCAAACUAUGCACUUUUUAAACAAAUCAUUUUUCCCCCCAAGUAUGGGCGACAGAAAAGGAUAUUCCGUAAGCAACAGCAAUAGUACCGCAAAGGGAACGCUGAAAGAGAAAUGAAACAAAUCAGUAAG